AGGGGAGUAGCUCAAUUGGCAGAGCAUCGGUCUCCAAAACCGAGGGCUGGGGGUUCGAGACCUCUCUCCCCUGCCA
rnacentral:tRNA from 2 species